UGACCUAUUAGCUCGGGUCAGAGCAUGGUGCUAAUAACACCAAGAUUGUGGGUUUGAUACCUAUAUAGGCCAU